rnacentral:sRNA from 2 species
AUAUUGUAAGCGCUGAAUUUCUGUGUAGACAGAAUACGGGGGAACCAUUUUGGGGUGAAUCCAGAUUUUCAUGCAUUGAGAAAUCUGGUAGGGCUAAUUUCUUUUCGGUCCGAAUCCGUCAGCUAAUCUCGGAAGCCUUGAAGCGGAGGGGA